rnacentral:rRNA from 1 species
UACGGAGGGUGCAAGCGUUAUCCGGAUUCACUGGGUUUAAAGGGUGCGUAGGUGGGCAAGUAAGUCAGUGGUGAAAUCUCCGGGCUUAACCCGGAAACUGCCAUUGAUACUAUUUGUCUUGAAUACUGUGGAGGUCAGCGGAAUAUGUCAUGUAGCGGUGAAAUGCUUAGAUAUGACAUAGAACACCAAUUGCGAAGGCAGCUGGCUACACAAAUAAUUGACACUGAGGCACGAAAGCGUGGGGAUCAAACAGG